UAUUAAAAAUUUCAUCCAUUUGUAUUAUUAAAAACUAGUGUGACGGACAGAAUAAUCAGACGAUGACACGUAGUGUACAAUAUGUAUCUCAUGCUAACAUAUAGAGAUCAGUUUUUAAUGGUGGAAAUGAAAGAAAUUUUUACCA
rfam:Gossypium raimondii chromosome 5, whole genome shotgun sequence.